UUCUCGCUCUACAUACUUUUUCUUGCAUUUGAGUUUCUUCGUCGAUUGUUGAAUGCCCGUCUCAAGCACCAAAUUUUGGUGCUUGGGGAUUACAGGGUUUUUGUGGUUUCUUUCUCUCUCUCUACAGCAUCCAGAGGCCAUUGGUGUGUAAUUUCACCACCAAUCGUCUCGGAAAAUCCGCAGCGCAUAGAAAGAGAGAGGGAGAGGGGAUGUGAAUAUGCCGAGUUGUUCGAAUGUUGAAGAAGAUCUACUUGCUAUGGACGACGUUGCGCGGUACUUUCCAGAAAGUAGCCCAACUUUGAAUUUUGAUGAAUUGCUUAAUGGCAACUCGCAACAUGAUGAUGAGGACCUGUUCGAUUGGGAUACUGAAAACCCUGUUAUGAACGAUGAUGAUUAUAAUUUUAACAAUUCUCCUAAUGUGGAUUUUACCGACGGUGUUGAGGGUGAAAUUCCUGAGUAUGUUGGUGAUAUAGGUAAUGAAGUUGGGACGAAUUUCGUUGUUCCCUUUUCGGUUUGGCCUCCUGUUCGGGCUCCGUUUAAUUGUAGUUACUGUCAUCUCCUUCGAGAAAUCAUCCACGAAAAUGGCGAAAACAGUAUGAGGCUUGAGAUUCAUGGAAGAAUUGGUUUUAUUAGCCAUGCUAUUCAUGAGAUGCGGACUAACGUUAUCGAUGGACCUCCUAUAGUAAACUAUGAAAUGUUCGAUUUCACAAUGCAAAGCAUGGAGAGUGUAAAGCAGUUCAUAGUUCAGUAUUGUCAAAGCCGCACUCAAGAAGGAUAUGUUUUAUUGCCAGAUCCAUUAUCAGUUUACUAUGAUGCAUUAUGCUAUGGACUUAACUGCUUCAAUAACGUCGAUCCAGAUGAGCUCAACCCUCCAUCAGAUAAUACAGAGGCACGUCAUAUUGGAGCAGAGGAGGAAAACCGAACUCCAGCAAAUACGAAUGACACUAGAACUCCUAGGCCUGGCCUCGCAUCGCAGAGGCAAAGGACAAGGGCAUUAACAUUAACCGACCUGACCAGACGGUUCCACGUUCCGAUAAAUACCGCAGCUAAAGAACUAGAAAUUUGUACUACGGUGCUCAAGAAAAAAUGCCGGCAAUUUGGGGUGAAACGAUGGCCAAGUCGAGCGUGUGAACAGGUAAUUAGCAAAACUAAAAAAUUAUCAAUCUUGGAAACAAGUCUGAGAGAGGGAAAUGGUAGCCAAAAUGCAAGCAGGGAGAUUGAGACUCUUAGAAAACAGCUCGAGGAUAUUUAUGCUUGCCGGGAUGUACAUGACUAAAGAUUGAAACAGGACACCAUAAUUAGCAAUAACAUGAAUCUUCAAUUCACAUUGGCUUUUGUGAAAUGGUUUGAUAUGUUAGAAUAAUGCAAACUGAAAAUGGGCACACCAACAUUCCUUCCAUUCCAGAAACCAUGUGAUAGGGAUUUCCUAUCGGGGCAGGUUGUGCUCCCGGAUGG